GGGGGUGUAGUUAAAUUAACAUUUAAUUUGCAAUUAAAAGGUGUCAUAAAGAUAUUGACCUCCCUCA
rnacentral:tRNA from 1 species